rnacentral:rRNA from 1 species
UACGUAGGGAGCAAGCGUUGUCCGGAAUCAUUGGGCGUAAAGCGCGCGUAGGUGGCUCUAUAAGUCCGUUGUGAAAGUCAAAGGCUCAACCUUUGAAAGCCGAUGGAUACUGUAGAGCUAGAGUCCGGAAGAGGCGAGUGGAAUUCCUGGUGUAGCGGUGGAAUGCGCAAGAUACAGGAAGAACACCCGUGGCGAAGGCGGCUCUCUGGGACGGUACUGACGCUGAGACGCGAAAGCGUGGGGAGCGAACAGG